GACGUAGGGCGAGGGCGGGGCUAAGCGCGCAGCGUCUGGGUACUGACUGACCGCUCGGCGCCAUGGCCGCGGACACGCGCGCCAAGGCCGUCACUCUGGACCUGAGACGUCGGCUGCUCAGCUCUUCCUGCAGACUCUUUUUUCCUGAGGAUCCUGUUAAGAUUAUCCGAGGCCAAGGGCAGUACCUGUACGACGAGCAAGGGCGAGAGUACCUGGACUGUAUCAACAACGUGGCGCAUGUCGGGCACUGCCACCCUACUGUGGUUCGAGCUGCACAUGAACAGAACCUGGUGCUCAACACCAACAGCAGAUAUCUGCACGACAACAUCGUGGACUAUGCCCAGAGGCUGUCAGAGACCCUGCCAAAGAAGCUUUCUGUGUUUUAUUUCCUGAAUUCUGGGUCAGAAGCCAACGACCUGGCCUUGAGACUAGCUCGCCAGUACACAGGACACCAGGAUGUGGUGGUAUUAGACCAUGCUUAUCAUGGUCACCUGAGCUCCUUGAUCGACAUCAGUCCCUACAAGUUCCGGAAUCUGGAUGGCCAGAAGGAAUGGGUCCAUGUGGCUCCUCUCCCAGACACCUACCGGGGCCCUUACCGGGAGGACCACCCCAAUCCAGCAGAGGCCUAUGCUAGCGAGGUGAAGCAUCUCAUCCGAAGUGCACAAGAGAAGGGCAGGAAGAUCGCAGCCUUCUUCGCUGAGUCUCUGCCCAGUGUGAGUGGACAGAUCAUUCCCCCUGCUGGCUACUUCUCCCAGGUGGCAGAGCUUGUACACAGAGCUGGAGGGCUCUUUGUGGCAGACGAGAUCCAGGUUGGUUUUGGCCGAGUAGGCAAGCACUUUUGGGCCUUCCAGCUGGAGGGAGAAGACUUUGUCCCCGACAUUGUCACCAUGGGAAAGUCCAUCGGCAAUGGUCACCCUGUUGCCUGCAUGGCCACUACCCAAGCUGUAUCAAGGGCAUUUGAAGCUACCGGUGUAGAAUACUUCAAUACGUUUGGUGGCAACCCAGUAUCCUGUGCUGUGGGGCUAGCAGUCCUAGAUGUCUUGAAAACAGAACAGCUCCAGGCUCAUGCCACUAAUGUGGGCAGAUUCCUUAUGAAGCAUCUCAGCCAGCAGAAAGCCAAGCAUCCUAUCAUUGGAGAUGUCAGGGGCACUGGACUCUUCAUUGGUGUGGAUCUGAUCAAAGAUGAGACCCUGAGGACACCAGCAACUGAAGAGGCGGAAUAUUUGGUCUCCAGGCUAAAGGAAAACUACAUUUUACUGAGCACGGAUGGUCCUGGGAGGAAUAUCCUCAAGUUCAAGCCUCCAAUGUGCUUCAGCCUUGACAAUGCACAACAUGUGGUAGCAAAGCUGGAUGACAUUCUAACAGACAUGGAAGAAAAAGUAAGAAGCUGUGAAACACUGAGGAUCAAGCGCCUUCCAGGGUCCACAGGUCCAGGCUGCAGAGCGGCAGCAGGAAGCAGACCCUCCAAUCUAGAACAGGGUAACCUGGUAAUAAAAUCGGCCCCCUAAUGCCGCUCUGGCCUCUGAGACGCCACACGCUGCCUACAACAACUAGAGCUCUGGAAUAGUUAACAGGAGAGUGAUUUCCGGGGGAAAUUUUAAAUAAGAUGCACAUGGGACAGGCCAUAAAAGUUUGCCAAGUUAAAUUUGGUACAUAAUUGUGUUCACUCCGCGUCCAAACAAAGCGUGUGCGGUCGUCACUCGGCCGCUCCUGCUGCCUCUCAGUAUGGCUUGUAGUUAUUCUGAUGACCACCACGUCGCUGGCUCUUCCCGUAAUUUGUACUACCCUGACCUAGGAAUAAGAACAACGUUGUGGCUACUACUUAACUGUACAUUUACCCAGUGCCAGGCGCUUGCCACACAUCCUCAGAAUUUAACCCUGCACAGCAACACCAGCUUUACACCUUACUGAGAGCUCCAGUGCCUGUGCCAGGCCUGUCUGACUCCAAAGCCCCUGCUGCCAGUGGCCCCUGCACUACCUAACCUGCCUCCCCUAGGAGGAAGUAGAUAGGGCCUCCCUCUCCUACUUACUGUAGUCGUAGCCGGGGCCGUAGCCGUAAUAGCCAUAGGGCGAGUAGUCGUAGCCGCCAUAGCCCGGCCCGUAGCCCUGCUGGUAGCCGUAGCCCUGGUUCCAGUAGUUGCCGUAGCCCUGAUUCCAACUCUGACUCUGACCUGUGGGGGGGAGCAGGGCACAGGGGCCCAUGGACCAUUUAGCACACGCAGGAGCUAGGAUGGAGGAAAUCCUGCCCUUUGGGUGGCGGGGUUAUUACUAUGGCAACUCAGAAGCCAAGAGGCUACUGUUCUGGUACAGAGGGCCCUAGGCCCAGCCUUGUAAUCCAGGAGGGCCAGGAUGCCAGUUAACUUCACUUGUGAAUACAGGACGCUUACACUCAAAUCACCCUCUGAUCACCUCCACCCUCCCUUGGCAGCUUUGCCUUGAAAAGAUGCAGUUCAGGCUUUGGAGUUAGAGGGGCCUGGGAUAGAAGGAGCUGAGCUAAGCGCCUGGCACAGCUUUGCCUUUCUGCCCACAGAAGAAUCUCGUCCUACUCAAAUACCCGUAACAGGACAGCACGACAACACCCACCUUACAGAUACAACAAGUAUGUAA